ensembl:snRNA U1 U1 spliceosomal RNA
UUACUGACCUGGCAGGGGAAAUACCAUGAUCCCGAAGGUGGUUCACCCAGGGUGAGGCCCAGCCAUUGCACUGCGGCUGUGCUGACCCCUGUGAAUUCCCCAAAUGUGGGAGUCUCCACUGCAUCAUUUCUGCUAGUGGGGGGGAGGGUUCUGUUCAUGCUCUCCCCUG